CGGGGAUUAGCUCAGUUGGUAGAGCGCGCGGUUUGGGACCGCGAGGCCGAAGGUUCGAGUCCUUUAUCCCCGA
rnacentral:tRNA from 1 species